GUGCUGCUCGGGCAGCACAUAUUCUGACACUGGAGUGCUACAGAGAAGAUUAGCAUGGCCCCUACACAAGCAUGACACGCACAUUUGUAGUGUUCCAUAGUUUU
ensembl:snRNA U6 U6 spliceosomal RNA